rnacentral:rRNA from 1 species
UCAAGCAAAAAAGAGCGCAGGGUGGAUGCCUUGGCACUAAGAGCCGACGAAAGACGUGAUAAGCUGCGAAAAGCUGCGGGGAAGUGCAAAUAACUAAAGAUCCGCAGAUGUCUGAAUGGGGGAACCCAUCUAACAAAAGUUAGAUAUCCAUAUGUGAAUAAAAUAGUGUAUGGAAGGGAACCCGGUGAACUGAAACAUCUAAGUAGCCGGAGGAAUAGAAAGAAACAUCGAUUUUGUGAGUAGCGGCGAGCGAAAGCGAAAGAGGCCAAACCAGUGUGCGUGCAUGCUGGGGUUCGGACCGUAUAAUUGAUUUGACAGAGUGAGCAGAAUUGUAUUGGGAAAUCAAGCCAAAGAGGGUGAAAGCCCCGUAAGCGAAGCGAAGGAGACAAGACGGGAUCCAGAGUACAUCGAGACACGAGAAACCUUGAUGGAAAGAGCGGGGACCACCCCGUAAGCCUAAAUACUACUUAGUGACCGAUAGCGCAUAGUACUGUGAAGGAAAGGUGAAAAGAACCCCGGGAGGGGAGUGAAAGAGAACCUGAAACCCUGUGUUUACAAGCUGUGGAACAACGAAAGUUGAACUGCGUACUUUUUGUAGAACGGUCCGGCGAGUUAUUGUUGUUGGCAAGGUUAAGAACUUAAGGUUUGGAGCCGAAGGGAAACCAAGUCUGAAAAGGGCGAGAAGUCAGUAGCAAUAGACCCGAAACCGGGUGAUCUAUCCAUGUCCAGGUUGAAGAUGCCGUAAAAAGGCAUUGGAGGACCGAAGCCACAUCCGUUGAAAAGGGUGGGCAUGAGGUGUGGAUAGGGGAGAAAUUCCAAUCGAACCCGGAGAUAGCUGGUUCUCCUCGAAAUAGCUUUAGGCUAGCCUCGUUUUAGUCACAUGGAGGUAGAGCACUGAAUUUCAGAGGGGGCGUCAAAAGCCUACCAAAGAAUAUCAAACUCCGAAUGCCAAGGUGAUGAUGAACGGGAGUCAGACUGCACGAGAUAAGUUGGGUAGUCAAAAGGGAAAGAGCCCAGACCACCAGCUAAGGUCCCAAAGUGAGCGUUAAGUGGAAAAGGAUGUGUGGAUUCGAAGACAACUAGGAUGUUGGCUCAGAAGCAGCCAAGCAUUUAAAGAGUGCGUAACAGCUCACUAGUCGAGAGUCCAUGCGCCGAAAAUGUCCGGGGCUAAAACGCGACACCGAAGCUGUGGAAUUACGUAAGUAAUUGGUAGAGGAGGCAUUCUUAAAACAGAAGAAGCCGUACCGAAGGAACGGUGGAUGGAUAAGAAGAGAGAAUGCCGGAAUGAGUAGCGAGAGGAAGGUGAGAAUCCUUCCGGCCGAAUAUCUAAGGUUUCCAGAGUAAAGCUGAUCUGCUCUGGGUAAGUCGGGGCCUAAGGAGAGGUCGCAAGACGUAUCCGAUGGACAACAGGUUUAGAUUCCUGUACUACAAUCAGAGAGAAAUGUAGGGACGCAUUGGGAAAGCGAAUCCACGAAAGGAAGAGUGGUGCAAGCGUAUAAGAGGGCGAUAGGAAAAGCCGUCGCCGAAAUCGAAAGCGUGAAGCGGAGUGAAAAGAGUAACGAAGUUCGUGAGCCGAGUGCCGAGAAAAGCUGCUAUUAAAUUGAUUGUACCCGUACCGUAAACCGACACAGGUGGAUGAGGAGAGAAUCCUAAGGCCGACGGAAGAAGCAUUGUUAAGGAAUUCGGCAAAAUGACCCGUAACUUCGGGAGAAGGGGUGCCUGAGAAAUCAGGUCGCAGAGAAUAGGCUCAAGCAACUGUUUAGCAAAAACACAGGUCUAUGCGAAACCGAAAGGUGAAGUAUAUGGGCUGACGCCUGCCCGGUGCUGGAAGGUUAAGAGGAGAGGUAAGCGAAAGCGAAGCUUUGAAUUUAAGCCCCAGUAAACGGCGGCCGUAACUAUAACGGUCCUAAGGUAGCGAAAUUCCUUGUCGGGUAAGUUUCCGACCCGCCACGAAAGCGUAAUGAUUUUGAGCACUGUCUCGACAAUGCAUCCGGUGAAAUUGAAAUACCAGUGAAGAUGCUGGUUACCCGCGCCAGGACGGAAAGACCCCAUGGAGCUUUACUCUAGUUUGAUACUGGGAUUCGGUACUUCAUGUACAGGAUAGGUGGGGAGACGAAGAGAGAUGUACGCAAGUAUGUCAGGAGUCGCUGUUGGGAUACCACCCUUGAAGUAUUGGAUUUCUAACCAGAGUCCGUAAACCGGACAUGGGACAAUGUCAGCGGGGAGUUUGACUGGGGCGGUCGCCUCCGAAAGGGUAUCGGAGGCGCUCAAAGGUUCCCUCAAAAUGGUCGGAAACCAUUUGAAGAGUGCAAAGGCAAAAGGAGCUUGACUGCGACAUGCGACGGAUGGAGCAGGUUACGAAAAGUAGGACUUAGUGAUCCGGUGGUAUGAAAGUGGGAUUGCCAUCGCUCAACGGAUAAAAGCUACCCUGGGGAUAACAGGCUUAUCACUCCCAAGAGUUCACAUCGACGAGUGGUUUGGCACCUCGAUGUCGGCUCAUCGCCAUCCUGGGGCUGUUAGCAGGUCCCAAGGGUUGGGCUGUUCGCCCAUUAAAGCGGUACGCGAGCUUGGGUUCAGAACGUCGUGAGGACAGUUCGGUCCCUAUCCGGCGCGGGGCGUAGGAUAUUUGAGAGGAGCUGUCCUUAGUACGAGAGACCGGGAUGGACGAACCACUGGUGUAAUCUGUUGUCGACCAACGGCAUAGCAGAGUAGCCAAGUUCGAAGGGAUAAACGCUGAAGGCAUCUAAGCGUGAAGCCCCCUCCAAGAUGAGAUAUCCCCUCCUAAAAGGAAUAAAACCCCCUGAGAGACUAACAGGUUAAAAUAGGCAGAGGUGAAGUGCAGUAAUGUAUGUAGGCUGACUGUUAAGCUAAUAGGUCGAAGGCUUGGACCA